rnacentral:rRNA from 1 species
AGAGUUUGAUCCUGGCUCAGGAUGAACGCUGGCGGCGUGCUUAACACAUGCAAGUCGAACGGAAAUGAUGCGCUGAUGCGAUUUCGAUCAAAUCUUGUAUCAUUUUAGUGGCGGAUGGGUGAGUAACGCGUGGGUAACCUGCUUUACACUGGGGGAUAACACUUAGAAAUAGGUGCUAAUACCGCAUAAGCGCACGAGACCGCAUGGUUUUGUGUGAAAAACUCCGGUGGUGUAAGAUGGACCCGCGUCUGAUUAGCUAGUUGGCGGGGUAACGGCCCACCAAGGCGACGAUCAGUAGCCGGCCUGAGAGGGUGGACGGCCACAUUGGGACUGAGACACGGCCCAAACUCCUACGGGAGGCAGCAGUGGGGGAUAUUGGACAAUGGGGGAAACCCUGAUCCAGCGACGCCGCGUGAGUGAAGAAGUAUUUCGGUAUGUAAAGCUCUGUCAGCAGGGAAGAAAGAAAUGACGGUACCUGACCAAGAAGCCCCGGCUAACUACGUGCCAGCAGCCGCGGUAAUACGUAGGGGGCAAGCGUUAUCCGGAAUGAUUGGGCGUAAAGGGUGCGCAGGCGGUCCUGCAAGUCUGGAGUGAAACGCAUGAGCUCAACUCAUGCAUGGCUUUGGAAACUGGAGGACUGGAGAGCAGGAGAGGGCGGUGGAACUCCAUGUGUAGCCGGUAAAAUGCGUAGAUAUAUGGAAGAACACCAGUGGCGAAGGCGGCCGCCUGGCCUGUUGCUGACGCUGAGGCACGAAAGCGUGGGGAGCAAAUAGGAUUAGAUACCCUAGUAGUCCACGCCGUAAACGAUGAGGACCAAGUGUUGGGGGUGAAACCUCAGUGCUGAAGUUAACGCAGUGAGUCCUCCGCCUGGGGAGUAUGCACGCAAGUGUGAAACUCAAAGGAAUUGACGGGGGCCCGCACAAGCGGUGGAGUAUGUGGUUUAAUUCGAAGCAACGCGAAGAACCUUACCAGGCCUUGACAUGGGAUGCGAAGAUGCAGAGAUGCAUCGGAGGUCAACAUCCACACAGGUGGUGCAUGGUUGUCGUCAGCUCGUGUCGUGAGAUGUUGGGUCAAGUCCCGCAACGAGCGCAACCCUUGUGGCAUGUUGCUAACAGGAAAAGCUGAGGACUCAUGCCAGACUGCCGGUGACAAACCGGAGGAAGGCGGGGAUGACGUCAAAUCAUCAUGCCCCUUAUGGCCCGGGCUACACACGUACUACAAUGGCGGCUACAAAGAGCAGCGAGACAGGGAUGUCGAGCGAAUCUCAUAAAAGCCGUCCCAGUUCGGAUUGGAGGCUGCAACCCGCCUCCAUGAAGUUGGAAUCGCUAGUAAUCGCGGAUCAGCAUGCCGCGGUGAAUACGUUCCCGGGCCUUGUACUCACCGCCCGUCA